UACGAAGGGGCUAGCGUUGCUCGGAAUCACUGGGCGUAAAGGGCGCGUAGGCGGAUCUUUAAGUCGGGGGUGAAAGCCUGAGGCUCAACCUCAGAAUUGCCUUCGAUACUGGAGAUCUUGAGACCGGAAGAGGUAAGUGGAACUGCGAGUGUAGAGGUGAAAUUCGUAGAUAUUCGCAAGAACACCAGUGGCGAAGGCGGCUUACUGGUCCGGUUCUGACGCUGAGGCGCGAAAAGCGUGGGGAGCAAACAGG
rnacentral:rRNA from 1 species